rnacentral:pre_miRNA from 14 species
GUUUAUCAUGUGGUGAAAGACCCCCAGAUCGGAGAGACCCUCACUCAAGUCUCGGGAUAAUGCGACCCCCCCAAGAACUCACACAAGACC